rnacentral:rRNA from 1 species
UACGUAGGGAGCAAGCGUUGUCCGGAUUUAUUGGGCGUAAAGAGCUCGUAGGCGGUUAAGAAAGUCAGGUGUGAAACCUCCAGGCUCAACCUGGAGACGCCACUUGAUACUUCUUUGACUUGAGUUCGGUAGGGGUAAGCGGAAUUCCUGGUGUAGCGGUGAAAUGCGUAGAUAUCGGGAGGAACAUCUGUGGCGAAGGCGACACCCUGGACCAGCACUGACACUGAGGCACGAAAGCGUGGGGAGCAAACAGG